AUGAGUGGCGAACGGGCGAGUAACACGUGAGUAACCUGCCCUCUUCUUUGGGAUAACGCCCGGAAACGGGUGCUAAUACUGGAUAUUCACUGGCCUUCGCAUGGGGGUUGGUGGAAAGGUUUGUUCUGGUGGGGGAUGGGCUCGCGGCCUAUCAGCUUGUUGGUGGGGUGAUGGCCUACCAAGGCUUUGACGGGUAGCCGGCCUGAGAGGGUGACCGGUCACAUUGGGACUGAGAUACGGCCCAG
rnacentral:rRNA from 1 species